rnacentral:rRNA from 1 species
UGGGGAAUCUUGCACAAUGGGGGAAACCCUGAUGCAGCGACGCCGCGUGAUUUAGAAGGCCUUCGGGUUGUAAAAAUCUUUUUUACGGGAUGAAAAUGACAGUACCGUAAGAAUAAGGUCCGGCUAAAUACGUGCCAGCAGCCGCGGUAAUACGUAUGGACCGAGCGUUGUCCGGAAUCAUUGGGCGUAAAGGGUACGUAGGCGGCCUAAUAAGUUAGAAGUGAAAGAAUAUAGCUCAACUAUAUAAAGCUUUUAAAACUGUUAGGCUUGAGAGAUGAAAGGGAAAGUGGAAUUCCUAGUGUAGCGGUGAAAUGCGCAGAUAUUAGGAAGAAUACCGGUGGCGAAGGCGACUUUCUGGUCAUCAUCUGACGCUGAGGUACGAAAGCGUGGGUAGCAAACAGG